AGCAGCCGCGGUAAUUCCAGCUCCAAUAGCGUAUAUUAAAGUUGUUGCAGUUAAAAAGCUCGUAGUUGAAUUUUGGAUUCUUCCAAUUGGUCCAUCUUUUAGAUGAGUACUGGUUGUGUGGGGUCUAUCCGCCUGGUGAUACGUAAUGUCCUUUAUUGGAUGUUGCGGGUAGUCAGGACCUUUACCUUGAAAAAUUAGAGUGUUUAAAGCAGGCUUAUGCCGGAAUACAUUAGCAUGGAAUAAUAGAAUAGGACGAAGUUGUUUUAUUUUGUUGGUUUCUAGGACAACCGUAAUGAUUAAUAGGGAUAGUUGGGGGCAUUAGUAUUCAAUUGUCAGAGGUGAAAUUCUUGGAUUUAUUGAAGACUAACUACUGCGAAAGCAUUUGCCAAGGAUGUUUUCAUUAAUCAAGAACGAAAGUUAGGGGAUCGAAGACGAUCAGAUACCGUCGUAGUCUUAACCAUAAACUAUGCCGACUAGGGAUCGGGCGAUGUUGUUUCCAUGACUCGCUCGGCACCUAUGG
rnacentral:rRNA from 1 species